GUGCUACUACAACCGCUCAUAUAAGGUUAUGAAGAAUUGUCUUAGGACAAACACCUGAACGUGGCGAGUCUUAGUUAUGAA
rfam:Bacillus coahuilensis p1.1.43 ABFP000032, whole genome shotgun sequence.